UGUAUAAUGGGUCAGCGACUUAUAUUCUGUAGCAAGGUUAACCGAAUAGGGGAGCCGAAGGGAAACCGAGUCUUAACUGGGCGUUAAGUUGCAGGGUAUAGACCCGAAACCCGGUGAUCUAGCCAUGGGCAGGUUGAAGGUUGGGUAACACUAACUGGAGGACCGAACCGACUAAUGUUGAAAAAUUAGCGGAUGACUUGUGGCUGGGGGUGAAAGGCCAAUCAAACCGGGAGAUAGCUGGUUCUCCCCGAAAGCUAUUUAGGUAGCGCCUCGUGAAUUCAUCUCCGGGGGUAGAGCACUGUUUCGGCAAGGGGGUCAUCCCGACUUACCAACCCGAUGCAA
rnacentral:rRNA from 1 species